rnacentral:rRNA from 1 species
UACGGAGGAUGCGAGCGUUAUCCGGAUUUAUUGGGUUUAAAGGGUGCGCAGGCGGUCUGUUAAGUCAGCGGUCAAAGCCCGGGGCUCAACCCCUUUAAGCCGUUGAAACUGGUGAUCUUGAGUGGGCGAGAAGUAUGCGGAAUGCGUGGUGUAGCGGUGAAAUGCAUAGAUAUCACGCAGAACUCCGAUUGCGAAGGCAGCAUACCGGCGCUCAACUGACGCUCAUGCACGAAAGUGUGGGUAUCGAACAGG